AUGAUAUUGUAUCAGGGGUCAUGUCGUGCUCUCCACAAGACUGAUGACUGUGGAAUGACCACAGGUACCUGGCUGGGGCAGAGUCACCAGGUUUCUCCAGGACAAAGUGCUUCUUUUUACCCCAUUUCUACAUUGCCUGACUUGGAGGAAGUUACUCUGUGCCAAACACACAAAGAAUGGGAACUUAUACACCCCUCAUCGAGGUCACGGCAUCUGCAUGCAGCCACACAUGAAGGACGGGAAGUUAUACACCCCUCAUCGAGGUCACGGCAUCUGCAUGCAGCCACACAUGAAGGACGGGAACUUAUACACCCCUCAUCGAGGUCACGGCAUCUGCAUGCAGCCACACAUGAAGGACGGGAAGUUAUACACCCCUCAUCGAGGUCACGGCAUCUGCAUGCAGCCACACAUGAAGGACGGGAAGUUAUACACCCCUCAUCGAGGUCACGGCAUCUGCAUGCAGCCACACAUGGAGGACGGGAAGUUAUACACCCCUCAUCGAGGUCACAGCAUCUGCAUACAGCCACACAUGGAGGACGGGAAGUUAUACACCCCUCAUCGAGGUCACAGCAUCUGCUUACAGCCACACAUGAAGGACGGGAACUUAUACACCCCUCAUCGAGGUCACGGCAUCUGCAUACAGCCACACAUGAAGGACGGGAACUUAUACACCCCUCAUCGAGGUCACAGCAUCUGCAUCAGCUACACACGGAGGAUGGGAACUUAUACACCCCUCAUCGAGGUCACAGCAUCUGCAUGCAGCCACACACGGAGGACGGGAACUUAUACACCCCUCAUCGGGGUCACAGCAUCUGCAUACAGCCACACAUGAAGGACGGGAACUUAUACACCCCUCAUCGAGGUCACAGCAUCUGUAUCAGCUACACACGGAGGAUGGGAACUUAUACACCCCUCAUCGAGGUCACAGCAUCUGCAUGCAGCCACACACGGAGGACAGGAACUUAUACACCCCUCAUCGGGGUCACAGCAUCUGCAUGCAGCUACACACGGACAACGGGAAGUUAUACACCCCUUAUCGAUACAUUUUCUGGACUUGUACUGCAUGAACAGUUUGUCUCUUCUCCCCAUUUCUUUCUUUCCUUUAUUCUUUCUUUGAACAUGUAUACCAAUAUGGAAUCGUGGAUAUUGUGUUUUACACUUUGA
rnacentral:lncRNA from 13 species